rnacentral:lncRNA from 1 species
UCAGCCUCCCUAAGUGCUGGGAUUACAGGCGUGAGCCACUGUGCCCAGGCUUUCAGGCUUAUUUUUGUCUUAUAGGCAAUUCAUAGUAAAUAAUGAGAAAAGCCUACUGUAAAACUGCCACACCUAGAAAUGGACUGAUCUCAAGGCAAGGUAACACAUCUUAACAAAAAGCAUUAACUUGCUGGAUACAAAGGCUACAAACUUUGACUUCUACUUUGACUUUCACUGAAGUUUGCUUUCAUGUAAAAUACAUACCAAAAAAAAGAAAGAAAGAAAGAAAGAAAGAAAGAAAAACGUGGAGACCAAAAAGGUAUAUAUCCCUUUUGUUGUUCUAAUAUUUUUAAGAAACAGGAUCUUGCUAUGUUGUCCUGGCUGGACUACAGAGGCUAUUCACGGGCCCAAUCAUAGUGUAUGUACUACAGCCUUGGAGAAAGAAACUGGAUUUCCACCCAACUGCUUCUCUCCUAACAAGUUACAUUGCCCUGAAGUGCUUAUUUAGUACCUUUUACCAUUUCAAAUACUUAGACUAUCUGAGGCCAAGUGGGAGAGAUUAAGCUCUAUGCUGUAAACAGUUAAGGAUUCAAUUUAUCAGCAUUUAACAGUUCCACAUUAUUUUCCACCUCCAACAUACAUGAUUAUACCAAUAUUAACACAUCAGCAAUAAAAUAACCAUAAAAUGGGAGGCAUGGGUGAAGAAGGAAUUGUGGUGAAAAUAUCUUCAUAUAAAUUAUAACUAUAAUCUGUAUUAUCUAUUUUGACAGAAAUAAUUCUCCCACUACUAUGCCAGAAGUUACGUAUGAUGGUGCUGGAUAUUUACAGUUAUCAGAAGAGUAUCUACUUCUAUCUUAACUAUAGUUGAUGGUAGUUUUAUAAUUUUGCAUACUUUGUGCAUGUUCCAGUGAAAACUCCAAAAAACCAUAAAGAAUGUAUCUAGACCAUGGGCUUUAGUCAUACUUUAAAUAAACCUUUAAU